rnacentral:rRNA from 1 species
UGGGGAAUAUUGGACAAUGGGCGAAAGCCUGAUCCAGCCAUGCCGCGUGUGUGAAGAAGGUCUUCGGAUUGUAAAGCACUUUAAGUUGGGAGGAAGGGCAUUAACCUAAUACGUUAGUGUUUUGACGUUACAGACAGAAUAAGCACCGGCUAACUCUGUGCCAGCAGCCGCGGUAAUACAGAGGGUGCAAGCGUUAAUCGGAAUUACUGGGCGUAAAGCGCGCGUAGGUGGUUUGUUAAGUUGGAUGUGAAAUCCCCGGGCUCAACCUGGGAACUGCAUUCAAAACUGACUGACUAGAGUAUGGUAGAGGGUGGUGGAAUUUCCUGUGUAGCGGUGAAAUGCGUAGAUAUAGGAAGGAACACCAGUGGCGAAGGCGACCACCUGGACUAAUACUGACACUGAGGUGCGAAAGCGUGGGGAGCAAACA